GACGAACCGUGCGAACGUUGUUCGGAUUCACUGGGCUUAAAGGGCGCGUAGGCGGACAAUCAAGUCAGGGGUGAAAGCCUCCAGCUCAACUGGAGAAGUGCCUUUGAUACUGACUGUCUCGAGGGAGGUAGGGGCAUGUGGAACUUCCGGUGGAGCGGUGAAAUGCGUAGAUAUCGGGAGGAACACCAAUGGCGAAGGCAGCUUGCUGGGACGGUACUGACGCUGAGGCGCGAAAGCGUGGGGAGCAAACAG
rnacentral:rRNA from 1 species